GUGGAAAGGUUUUUUCUGGUGGGGGAUGGGCUCGCGGCCUAUCAGCUUGUUGGUGGGGUGAUGGCCUACCAAGGCUUUGACGGGUAGCCGGCCUGAGAGGGUGACCGGUCACAUUGGGACUGAGAUACGGCCCAGACUCCUACGGGAGGCAGCAGUGGGGAAUAUUGCACAAUGGGCGAAAGCCUGAUGCAGCGACGCCGCGUGAGGGAUGGAGGCCUUCGGGUUGUAAACCUCUUUCGCUCAUGGUCAAGCCGCAACUUAGGGUUGUGGUGAGGGUAGUGGGUAAAGAAGCGCCGGCUAACUACGUGCCAGCAGCCGCGGUAAUACGUAGGGCGCGAGCGUUGUCCGGAAUUAUUGGGCGUAAAGGGCUUGUAGGCGGUUGGUCGCGUCUGCCGUGAAAUCCUCUGGCUUAACUGGGGGCGUGCGGUGGGUACGGGCUGACUUGAGUGCGGUAGGGGAGACUGGAACUCCUGGUGUAGCGGUGGAAUGCGCAGAUAUCAGGAAGAACACCGGUGGCGAAGGCGGGUCUCUGGGCCGUUACUGACGCUGAGGAGCGAAAGCGUGGGGAGCGAACAGGAUUAGAUACCCUGGUAGUCCACGCUGUAAACGUUGGGCACUAGGUGUGGGGGCCACCCGUGGUUUCUGCGCCGUAGCUAACGCUUUAAGUGCCCCGCCUGGGGAGUACGGCCGCAAGGCUAAAACUCAAAGGAAUUGACGGC
rnacentral:rRNA from 1 species